CGGGUGAGUAACACGUGAGUAACCUGCCCCUGACUCUGGAAUAAGCGCUGGAAACGGCGUCUAAUACCGGAUACGAGACGCAACCGCAUGGUUAGUGUCUGGAAAGUUUUUCGGUCUGGGAUGGACUCGCGGCCUAUCAGCUUGUUGGUGAGGUAACGGCUCACCAAGGCAAUGACGGGUAGCCGGCCUGAGAGGGCGAUCGGCCACACUGGGACUGAGACACGGCCCAGACUCCUACGGGAGGCAGCAGUGGGGAAUAUUGCACAAUGGGCGAAAGCCUGAUGCAGCGACGCCGCGUGAGGGAUGACGGCCUUCGGGUUGUAAACCUCUUUCAGCAGGGAAGAAGCGCAAGUGACGGUACCUGCAGAAGAAGCACCGGCUAACUACGUGCCAGCAGCCGCGGUAAUACGUAGGGUGCGAGCGUUGUCCGGAAUUAUUGGGCGUAAAGAGCUUGUAGGCGGUUUGUCGCGUCUGCUGUGAAAAUCCGGGGCUCAACCCCGGACUUGCAGUGGGUACGGGCAGACUAGAGUGUGGUAGGGGAGACUGGAAUUCCUGGUGUAGCGGUGAAAUGCGCAGAUAUCAGGAGGAACACCGAUGGCGAAGGCAGGUCUCUGGGCCAUUACUGACGCUGAGAAGCGAAAGCAUGGGGAGCGAACAGGAUUAGAUACCCUGGUAGU
rnacentral:rRNA from 1 species